CCGGCUGAGUCUGGGCCAGGGGGGCGGUGAAGACGGAGGGUGCGAGCGUGAAUCGUGAGUACUGUGCGUAAAGGGUGCGGAGUGGGUAGUGCAAGUCGAGUGUGAAAGCGCCGGGCUUAACUUGGGAAUUGCGCUCGAAACUACUUUGCUGGAGUGUGGCAGAGGAAGGUGGAAUUCCACGUGUAGCGGUGAAAUGCGUAGAGAUGUGGAGGAACACCAAUGGCGAAGGCAGCCUUCUGGGCCAACACUGACGCUCAUGCACGAAAGCGUGGGGAGCAAACAGGAUUAGAUACCGGUAUUC
rnacentral:rRNA from 1 species